ACGAGGUAGAUAAAGGAAAGUCUUCGGACUGGAAUUUAUUUACCGAGUGGCGGACGGGUGAGUAACGCGUGGGUAACCUGCCUCAUACAGGGGGAUAACAGUCAGAAAUGGCUGCUAAUACCGCAUAAGCGCACAGUGUCACAUGACACGGUGUGAAAAACUCCGGUGGUAUGAGAUGGACCCGCGUCUGAUUAGCUAGUUGGUAAGGUAACGGCUUACCAAGGCGACGAUCAGUAGCCGACCUGAGAGGGUGACCGGCCACAUUGGGACUGAGACACGGCCCAAACUCCUACGGGAGGCAGCAGUGGGGAAUAUUGCACAAUGGGGGAAACCCUGAUGCAGCGACGCCGCGUGAGUGAUGAAGUAUUUCGGUAUGUAAAGCUCUAUCAGCAAGGAAGAAAAAAGACGGUACUUGACUAAGAAGCCCCGGCUAACUACGUGCCAGCAGCCGCGGUAAUACGUAGGGGGCAAGCGUUAUCCGGAUUUACUGGGUGUAAAGGGAGCGUAGACGGCAUGGCAAGUCAGAAGUGAAAGCCCGGGGCUCAACCCCGUGGACUGCUUUUGAAACUGCUAAGCUAGAGUGCAGGAGAGGUAAGUGGAAUUCCUAGCGUAGCGGUGAAAUGCGUAGAU
rnacentral:rRNA from 1 species